GACGAACGCUGGCUGCGUGCCUAAUACAUGCAAGUCGAACGCAGUGGGGACGGGUGAGUAACACGUGGGUAACCUCCCAUCAGAGGGGAUAACACUUGGAAACAGGUGCUAAACCGAUACUGAUGGAUGGACCCGCGGUGCAUUAGCUAGUUGGUGAGGUAACGGCUCACCAAGGCCACGAUGCAUAGCCUACCUGAGCGGGUGAGUGCGCACACUGGGAAUGAGACACGGCGCAUACUGCGACGGGAGGCAGCAGUAGGGAAUCUUCGGCAAUGGACGAAAGUCUGACAGAGCAACUCCGCGUGAGUGAAGAAGGUUUGCGGAUCGUAAAACUCUGUUGUUAGAGAAGCGGUAUCUAACCAGAAAGCCACGGCUAACUACGUGCCAGCCGCCGCGGUAAUAC
rnacentral:rRNA from 1 species